rnacentral:misc_RNA from 1 species
UAGUUGUGUGGGUGCAUGUACGCAUGAUCUUUUUGAUGCGGUACGUGUUGGCGUGUGAGUGGUGUUUGGUUUGUGUGGUUGGCGGGCUCUAUGCUUGUGCAUUGAACCGUUCACUAGCAUGCCUCUUCAUUGUUUGCUUCAAGUGCAUCAUGUGCCUUGGGCGACGUGUGGUCCCUAUGUUGGAUUCCUAUUGACGGUAUCGUUGUUGUCCCUCUAAAGAUUGAUUUUCGUUCGACAUUUGUAAUAGGAGGUCGAGCGGACUGUUAAACUUGGCUCGUUAUCCACCCCGUCAAGCGAAAACAAGCACGAUAGGAUUGGAUUGCGAUCUCAAGUUGGGCCCUUGGAUGCAGAAA